rnacentral:rRNA from 1 species
UAGGGAAUAUUGCGCAAUGGGCGAAAGCCUGACGCAGCAACGCCGCGUGCGGGAUGAAGGCCUUCGGGUUGUAAACCGCUUUCAGCAGGGAAGAAGCGAAAGUGACGGUACCUGCAGAAGAAGCACCGGCUAACUACGUGCCAGCAGCCGCGGUAAUACGUAGGGUGCAAGCGUUGUCCGGAUUUAUUGGGCGUAAAGAGCUCGUAGGCGGUUAGUCGCGUCGGAUGUGAAAACUCAGUGCUUAACACUGAGCCUGCAUUCGAUACGGGCUAACUAGAGUAUUGUAGGGGAGACUGGAAUUCCUGGUGUAGCGGUGAAAUGCGCAGAUAUCAGGAGGAACACCGGUGGCGAAGGCGGGUCUCUGGGCAAUUACUGACGCUGAGGAGCGAAAGCGUGGGGAGCAAACAG